UACGUAGGGUGCAAGCGUUAAUCGGAAUUACUGGGCGUAAAGCGUGCGCAGGCGGUGAUGUAAGACAGAUGUGAAAUCCCCGGGCUCAACCUGGGAACUGCAUUUGUGACUGCAUCGCUGGAGUGCGGCAGAGGGGGAUGGAAUUCCGCGUGUAGCAGUGAAAUGCGUAGAUAUGCGGAGGAACACCGAUGGCGAAGGCAAUCCCUGGGCCUGCACUGACGCUCAUGCACGAAGCGUGGGAGCAAACAGG
rnacentral:rRNA from 1 species